AAAUAGAUAAUAAAUAAUCUACUACUUGAUAAGAUAGAAAACUAUGGGUUAGACAGCAUCACCACCAGAUGGAUUCAUAACUGGCUGACCAACCACAUUCAGCAUGUAGUCCUCAAUGGAACUGCAUCUACAUGGAGAGAAGUAUGCAGUGGGGCACCCCAAGGCUCUGUUUUAGGCCCAGUACUCUUCAACAUCUUCAUCAAUGAUUUGGACAAGGGAAUAGAUGGGGAACUCAUCAAAUUUGCAGAUGACACCAUGCUGGCAGGAAUAGCCAACACUCCAGAAGAUAGGCUUAAGAAACAGAAGGAUCUUGACAAACUUGAACAUUGGGCGCUAUCUAACAAAAUGAAAUUCAACAGUGAAAAAAGUAAGGCUCUACAUUUAGACAAGAAAAACAAAAUACACAGGUACAGUAUAUGUGGUACCUCACUCAAUAGUAGUAACUAUUAAGUAACUAUAGUAAGAAAUAGUAGUGAGAGGGAUCUUGGAGUCCUGGUGGACAACCAUUUAAAUAUCAGCCAGCAGUGUGCUACAGCUGCCAACACAGUUCUAGGCUGCAUAAACAGAAGAUCGUGUGAAGUGUUAAUACCACUUUAUAAUGCCUUGGUAAGGCCGCAGUUGGAAUACUGCAUCCAGUUUUGGUCGCCAAGAUGUAAAAAAGAUGUUGAGACUCUAGAAAGAGUGCAGAGAAGAGCAACAAAGAAGAGGGGGUCAAUCUAUUCUCCAAAGCACCUGAAGGCAGGACAAGAAGCAAUGGAUGAAAACUAAUCAAGGAGAGAAGCAACCUAAAACUUUCUGACAGAACAAUUAAUAAGUGGAACAACUUGCCUCCAGAAGUUGUGAAUUCUCCAACAGUGGUAGUUUUUAAGAAGAGAUUGGACAACAAUUUGUCUGAAAUGGUAUAGGGUUUCCUGCUAAGCAGGGGGUUGGACUUGAAGAGCUCCAAGGUCCCAUCCAACUCUGUUAUUCUAUUCUAUUCUAUUAUUAGAAGCUGCUGUUCUGAGUUAAUUGCUCAUAAUUGUUGAAUUUUAUAUGACCUUUAUUGCCUUACAUUUAUUUAUUGGAUUUAUAUCCUGCCUAUUGUUUCAAAGCUGAAGGCAGUGUAUGUAGCCCUCCUAUUUCUUCCUGGAGAAAUUAUGAAUAUUUAACAAUAGAGAUUACACCCGCUCCCCAUUUAGCAAUUAUCUCAGCUAAUAACCAUUUGCAUACAUAAUGAUAAUGAAUGGUAAUAAAAAUCAUUUUCCAACCAAUAUGCGCCUUUAUGACCAAAUUUUGGGCAUCUAACAACAGUACAUGCUGAAGUGAGAGUAAUGCUGGGGUAGCUGUGUAAGGGAACCAUAUGAAUGAGAUGACAGCAACUAGUGAUUUUGCAUUUUCUCUCUCUCCUUCCCUCCCCCAUCUCAUGUGUUCACAUAACAAUCAUUUCAUUUUGCUUAAUACUUAACUUUCCUGGUAGUUGGAAUGGGACUCAGUUGCUAAACAAGGGGAAGGUCUAUAUGUAGCUCAGGGCUGAAUUUUGGGAUUCUUGGUGUUCUCUGAGCUUGGUUUGCUUUGUGCAACUCUUUCAUUAUCGGGUUAGGAGUGAGCUUUGUUGUCUGUUUAGAUAUAGUAGUCUAGAGUACCAGCCUUGUUGGAUUUGGGCAGGAUGUGAUGAUUAGUGGUAUUGUUCUUCUUUCAUUGCUGCUUAGUGUGAUGAUUAGAUAUCGGUUCUUCCUUCUCUGGGUGCUGGUAUUUUGAUAAGGGAGGACGUGCUCAGCAACAUUUCCUCCUUUCUUGGUCUGUGGUUAGACCUUUUGAAUGCUUCAUAAAUAGGGUACUAGUCCUCAAUUUACAACCAUAUUUAUACCCAACGUUGAGACGGUUACGUGAGUUUUGCCCCAUUUUACAACCUUUCUUGCCACAGUUGUUAAGUGAAUCAUUAUAGUUGUUAAAUUAGUAACCCAAUUAAGUGAAUCUGGCUUCCCCAUUGGCUUUGCUUGUCAGAAUAGCAAUAGCAUUUAGACUUACAUACCGCUUCAUAGUGCUUUACACUCUCUAAGAGGUUUACAGAGUCAGUAUAUUGCCCCCAACAAUCUGGGCCCUCAUUUUACCGACCUCGGAAGGAUGGAAGGCUGAGUCAACCUUGAGCCUGGUGAGAUUUGAACUGCCAAAUUGCAGGCAGCCAGCAGCCAGCAGAAGUAGCCUGCAGUACUGCAUUCUAACCACUGCGCCACUACAGCUCUUAAGGUCACAAAAGGUGACCUCAGGACACGGCACAUAAAUAUGAGUCAGUUGGCAUCUGAACUUUGAUCACGUGACUAUGGGGAUGCUGCAAAGGUUUUAAGUGUGAAAAGCGGUCAUAAGUCAUUUGUUUCAGUGCCGUUGUAACUUUGAAUGGUCACUAAACGAACUGUUGUAAGUCAAGGGCCACCUGUAUGUCUGUUGACAGAUCAUUUGUCAGAAUAUCAAGCUUGUAAUUCUCUUUAUAAGCAUCAGAGCAACCCUAGAAUAUCUGCCAGCAACUGGUACCUUAGGAGACCAGACUCCUUUUGGUAAUUCUCUUGAAUUUUUAGUACAGCUCGAUCUCCCUCAUGCAACCCAAAAUAAAUAUUUAGAUUAUUUAAACUAAGCUCCUGAAUAAAAGUGGAGAACAUAAUUCCGAUAAAUAAAUAAUAGGAGAAAGAAGGGUCAGGAGAGCAAGGAUACUUCCCAGCAAUGGUUGCUAUGGUGAUUAGAAUGUUGGGAAAAAAUACAGCUGAGCUGGAGAGGUUGUAAAAACCUGGAGGGAAAGAAAGGGAAAAUGGAGCAAAGCCGAGAAGACAUACACAGUCUCAUUCUCAACUAUACCACAGAACAAGAAAAUGGUUAUUUCAGCAGUUUUCUCACCUAAUUCAGAAUGAAUCAUUGGAAGUACUGUCACUGAGACGUUAUCUGAACUCCUUUGGCCAGCUGUGUCAGUCACGGUCAGCUGCAGUGUGUAUUUUCCUUCUUGCAUAUGAGAGAGCUUCAGUGUUCCUGGCUGAGGUACCUGAGCCAAAAAAAUAGGACAUUCAUGGAAUCCCAUCCUUCAUAUUAUAGCUACCAAGGUACAACUCUCAUACAAUCAUGAGAGGAUUGACAUGCAGGCAUACACACACAUUCUAUAAUAUACAUAGGAGAGUGUAAAAUUAAAGGCAUCAUGCCUUUU